rnacentral:rRNA from 1 species
GAUGAACGCUGGCGGCGUGCCUAAUACAUGCAAGUCGAGCGAACGGACGAGAAGCUUGCUUCUCUGAUGUUAGCGGCGGACGGGUGAGUAACACGUGGAUAACCUACCUAUAAGACUGGGAUCACUUCGGGAAACCGUAUCUAAUACCGGAUAAUAUUUUGAACCGCAUGGUUCAAAAGUGAAAGACGGUCUUGCUGUCACUUAUAGAUGGAUCCGCGCUGCAUUAGCUAGUUGGUAAGGUAACGGCUUACCAAGGCGACGAUGCAUAGCCGACCUGAGAGGGUGAUCGGCCACACUGGAACUGAGACACGGUCCAGACUCCUACGGGAGGCAGCAGUAGGGAAUCUUCCGCAAUGGGCGAAAGCCUGACGGAGCAACGCCGCGUGAGUGAUGAAGGUCUUCGGAUCGUAAAACUCUGUUAUUAGGGAAGAACAUAUGUGUAAGUAACUGUGCACAUCUUGACGGUACCUAAUCAGAAAGCCACGGCUAACUACGUG